rnacentral:rRNA from 1 species
AGCGAACGCUGGCGGCAGGCUUAACACAUGCAAGUCGAGCGGGCACGUUCGGGUGUCAGCGGCGGACGGGUGAGUAACGCGAGGGAACGUGCCCUCUGGUUCGGAAUAAGUCAGGGAAACUGGAGCUAAUACCGGAUACGCCCUAUUGGGGAAAGGCUUGCUGCCGGAGGAUCGGCCCGCGUCUGAUUAUCGAGUUGGUGAGGUGACGGCUCGCCAAGGCGACGAGCAGUAGCUGGUCUCAGAGCAUGAGCAGCCACACUGGGACUGGGACACGGCCCAGACUCCGACGGGAGGCAGCAGUGGGGAAUAUUGGCCAAUGGGCGCAAGCCUGCUCCAGCCAUGCCGCGUGACUGAUGAAGGCCUUAGGGCUGUAACGCCCUUUUAUCCGGGACGAUAAUGACGGUACCGGCGGAAUAAGCCCCGGCUAACUUCGUG